rnacentral:lncRNA from 1 species
AGGCCUGGCCACUCGACCUCCCAGGUACCCUCCCCACACUCACCACCACCCAACGCAGCCCGGCUCUGAGCUGGGCAAACAUCUUCCGUAAAGGACCGGGCAGCAAGUGUUUUUGGCUCUGCGGAACACGCAGUCCCAAGCGUGACACUCAGCUCCCAGCUCUGCCGCUGCAGCAUGGAGGCCACCAAGGCCGGCAAGGGAACAAAUGGUGUGGCUGUUGCCAAUAAAACUUUGUCGACAAGAACUGGCAUGGACAGAUUCGGGCUGGGGCUCAUGUGGCCACUUGUUGCCAUCCACAGCCUGACGCCCAGCAACUGAGGGCUCCAAGGGGUCAGCGAGGGAGUCCCGUUGGCACCAAAAGACCGGGCACCCUGAGCCCCACCCGGCCCACACGAGGUAUUCAACAAAGGUCUGGAGCCCAUGCGAGGACCUGCAGGAAUGGACCCCACGCUUUCGCGAGCCCUGACUCCCACGGUGGACCCCAGCACCCAGGGAGCAGAGGAAGAACAGGAGCGCUGGGCCUGGCUCAAGGGGAGAAGGAGAACCAAGCUGGAUGGAGGAAGACUGAGCUGGACGGAGGAGGACCGAGCUGGUGCAAGGAGGACUGAGCUGGACGGAGGAGGACCGAGCUGGACCGGGGAAGACCGGGCUGGACUGGGGAGGGUCGAACUGGACCGGGGAGGACCAAGCUGGACCCGGGGGAGGCAGAGGACAGGGAAGGAGUCAGUGGGUUCUGGGCCAGUUCUGAAGGUGAAGCUGACAUCAUUUGCCGCCAGAUCAGCCGCGGGAGUGGGGCAGGGGCAGGGAUGUAGCUGACCUUUCAGGGCAUCAUAGAGACAGAUCAGCCAUGGGAGUGGGACAGGGGCAGAGAUGGAGCUGAGCGUUCUGGGGCAUCACAGAGAUAGGACAGCCUGGAAGAGGCUCAGACACACCCAGGCCACAGCUCAGACCAAACCCCACCACAGGCCAUCGGCCCCCACAGCGGGCACAGCCGCAUCCCAAGACCUGGCCUUCCCGAGACGGCCCCCAUGUGCCCCACAGCCAUGGCCCGUGGAGACGCCAUUCAGGCCACGUCUCGGGAGCCAGGAGCCCGGGCAAUUAGAGGAACCAGAUUUUAAACACCAACGAGACAUUGCUUUGCCUCCCACCGGAUCGGCCAAAAUCGCCAAGGACGACGACAUUGGGAGCUGGCAGUGCCACGGGAAACGGGCAGCCUCCCUCAGCCCGUCGGACAAGGCUCCCGCUGUAGCUGAGCUUUCUGGAAGGUGUCACCACCGCCUCUAACAGCAAGAGUUGACUCCAGAAACCACCGGCACGGGCCUCAGCAGGGGCCUGGAGGCACUGACGAUGGAGAGGCCCGAAGGGGGCGGCCAACCGGCACACAGUCACCAAGCGUGAGUGCCAACUCAUCCCAGGCUCAGCCAGCCCCCGGCAGACACGGUCAUCACCCCAUUUUACAGACAGGACACUGAAGCCCAGGGAAGUGAUGGCCACACAGCAACUGAGGCGCGGAGCUGGGAGGGGUACCCUGGUGGGAACAACUCCAGGGGCUCCCCCUUAACCACUGCCUGGCACUCGCCCUCUCUACAAACCGAUACCAACAUAGGGUGGGGAGACUCCAGAUGACCACAGAUAAAAAGCAAGCAGUUCACAGAGUCAUACACGUGUGGCAUUUCUCACCAGGGCCGUCCUGCCCCCAGGGGACACUGAACAAUGUCUGGGUCACUUGUGGCUGUCACAACUGGGAGGUACUCCUGGCGUACAGUGGACAGAAGCCAGGGGCGCUGCUCAGCACCCCUCAUUUCCUGGCUCAACAUACCUCUGCCAAGGCAGAGAAGCCCCAGUGAGGCAUGAAACCAUCUCGGUGAAGAACAAGCAGGCCCCUUUAUGUGCUCAGGUCUCCGCGGCCCAUCCAGGCACAACCUAAACUCACCAGCACUGACAUAGAAGAGAUGGCGUUGGAGGAAUGAGGCAACUCUGAAUUUUAAAAUUUCAGAGGCAAUAUAUGGCCAGCUGGGGUCCGAUUUCUGUGGAUUUCAGGGAUGGGCAGAGAUGCCGGACCCUGACCUUCCAGCUGUCCCCUCCCCGCCCAUGCUCAGCCCCAGCCAUGGCUCCUGCAGCUGGCAACUUUAUCUGUCCCCAGUGCUCCCAGAGCCCCUGAUAAGAUGAAUGGUCACAGUGCGGUUUUCUC